rnacentral:rRNA from 1 species
UACGUAGGGCGCAAGCGUUGUCCGGAAUUAUUGGGCGUAAAGAGCUCGUAGGCGGUCUGUUACGUCUGCUGUGAAAACCCAGGGCUUAACCCUGGGCUUGCAGUGGAUACGGGCAGACUAGAGGCAGGUAGGGGAGAAUGGAAUUCCCGGUGUAGCGGUGAAAUGCGCAGAUAUCAGGAGGAACACCGGUGGCGAAGGCGGGUCUCUGGGCCGAAAUUGACGCUGAGGAGCGAAAGCGUGGGGAGCAAACAGG